CAGCCGUGUGGUAAGCACAAAGCGAACUAUUCUUUCAUAUUUUACUAAAGAAUACCGUGUGCUUGCCAGAUAUAUGCGGCAUGCGCCUAUUUUUGGAUGGUUUCUCUUCUUUUAGAGGAA